UGAGCGCCAGCAUUUGGGGGUUCAUUUCCCGAGUGGGCUGCAUCAUCAGUCCCGUCCUUUUCCAUGGAAUGAGCGGCUCAGUUUGCAGCCGUUGCUUUGGCUUGGCUGGCUGGGAGGGGAGAAUCCAGUUUGACCUGCCACAGUGAAUUCCUUUCAACAGGUAAAACUCUGCCAAUACAAUGAGACCACCGAAAGAUUGCACUGUGGCCCGACCUUAGCCGGCUAUUCGUUCAGCUUUGUUUAUUUGGGGAAUUAACCAAGAGCUGACAAGCACUUAACAAUGGGCCUUUUCUACAAUGCUGCACUCUGGAGCAACUCAAACUCAUUAUUAUUUGUACAAUUGAAGCUUUUACUGCACAAUAGAAGUAAUCAACAUUGACAGUACAAUUACACAGAACCCACAGAGGACUAUAAGAAAGAUAUUUGACUUUCCAUGGCUGCAUUGAAGAAUUGCACAGUAGACAGGCAGGAGGCUGG